rnacentral:rRNA from 1 species
UACGUAGGGUCCGAGCGUUGUCCGGAAUUAUUGGGCGUAAAGGGCCCGUAGGCGGUCUGUUACGUCGGGAGUGAAAACUCGGGGCUCAACCCCGAGCCUGCUUCCGAUACGGGCAGACUAGAGGUAUGCAGGGGAGAAUGGAAUUCCUGGUGUAGCGGUGGAAUGCGCAGAUAUCAGGAGGAACACCGGUGGCGAAGGCGGGUCUCUGGGCAGUAACUGACGCUGAGGAGCGAAAGCGUGGGGAGCGAACAGG